GUGCAAGUUCAAGCGGAUCAGCACGAAUAUAUCAUUGAAACUAUUGUCAAUGAUCAUGUGCUGACAAGGACAACCUCAUGUGCUAACAAGGACAAGAUCAAGAUAAGCAUUCCUGAGCACUACAUGCUUGAUUCUUGUGGAUGAUCACAUGGUGGACAUGACAAGAUCAAGAUAAGCAUUCUUGAGAACUUCAUGCUUGAUUCUUGUGGAUGUUCACAUGGUGGACAAAUGAAGAUGAAUACAUAAGCUAGGCUUUCCGCAUUGUGUAUGGGAAAGCUACUUGAAGACUUCAUCAUGUCUUGCUUUCAACUUGAGCCAAGAAGGAACAACAACAUCAAGCUCAGGUGAAAGGGCUAACUCAAAGGUAUUAGUUCCUUUGACGUUAGUUGUGCGGAGUGAUGAUCAACGAAUGAAAGUAUACACUCAAGUAUGGAUCAUCAGUACUCUUUUAUGAUUCUUGAGUCCUUAGGGAUCCCGCACUAUUAAGAGGGGAUCACAGGUUUUGCGAUGAACUUGCUCAAACUACAUCAUCACUUUCUGCUCAGACCACAUCUCCACUGCUUUGUUGUUAUCUGAAAACAGAACCAGUGCCUCGGACAUCUGGCUUUCUCCGGACGUCCGAGGACCGAACGACUGACUAGUUCGGAAAUCCGGAAUCCUAUACCAGAGAAAUCAGAGCCAUAUAACUCGGACGUCGUCCGGCUACCUCCGGACGUCUGAGGCCCGGAUGUCCGGCCAAGUCCCAGAAAUCCGGAAGCCUGCACCAGUAGAAGUUGAGUUCUAUAUCUCGGAAAUCCGGUUCCCUCCGGACGACCGAGCGCCGGACGUCCGACACCCGUCGAAAAUCCGGAACCUACCACCAGUAGAAGUUGAGCUGUAUAACUCGGAUUUCUGGUCCUCUCCGGACGUCCGUAUGUUGAUAAACUCAAAUAUGUUCAGGCACAUCUACAGGCCUCGGACGACCGACCCCUGUCGGACGUCCGGCCGCUGAUGAAUUCAGAAGAGUUCCAGUCAUGCCUAAAGGUCUCGGACGUCCGGUCCCUCGCGGACACCCGGACUUCCGACAACUGUCGGACGUCCGGACCCUGUGUGACUUAAAGUGUCCCCAACGGCUCUUUUUCUCUCCCCACUAUAAAUAACCCCCUCCCACUUCGUGAGAGGGUUUCCCAACACAGCCUUAUCCUCAUAAGAACACAUUUCCACCUCACACACAUUUGCUCGCUCCAAAUCUUAGAUCCCAAGAGCAUUUGUGAGCCCCUUUGAGAGUUGUUCCAAUCAAAAGAUAGAUCGUCUCCCUCUCCUUCUCUCAACCCAAGCUAUUUGUGAUUUGAGCAAGUUUUGAGCAUUCCCCGUGAUCUUGUUACUCUUGGAGGUUGGAGACUCCUAGGCGGUAGGAGUUCUUCGGAGAGGAAUCAAUCCGUGUGAUUUCCCCCGGAAAAGUUUGUGAGGGUUUGGAAGCCACCUCAAAGGCUUACCACUAGUGGUUGAGAAAUGCCUUCGUGGUGUUAUCUCAAAGGGAGAAUAGGGUGAGCCUUCGUGGCGUUGGUGUGCCUUCGUGGUAACAUCCACAUUGUGGGGGAGUGAUGUGCUUUGCACACCUCUCAAUCCUAUAAAUGUGUAUACAUGGGGAAUACCACUCAGCUUUGAUAUUUCAAGAUUAUCUAGUUUCUAUGUGGUAUGUCUUACUCAUGAGAAAUUCAAAUUCUAUAUGGUCCAUUAAUUAUCUCUUGUUGGUUUCAAUUUGCCACUUGUUAAUAUUGUUGGUUUAUCACAUUAUGGGGGGGUAAUAUGCUAUGUGCAUAUUACAAACCUAGAAAAUGUGUACAUUUGAGGUGUUGCCACUUAGUGUUGAUAUUGUAAAUUAUCCUGUUCCUAGGUGGCAUGUUAUCUCUACAAGUGUCAGUUGCUUGCGUUUUAUGGUAAAGAUGAUCUUGGAUAUAUUUAUGAUCUACCAAUGAGUAUCAUUUUGAAAAUACUUCUUGUCCUUGACAAUUGGUAUUCCCAUCAUGUGAUUGGAAUUGCUAAUCAUCUUUACAUUGGAUUUUGUGUUUCAUUUGUCUUCCUUGCCUCUUAUGGAUCUAUUUUAACCUGUCUAGUGCUUUUAUGGAUAUAGAGAAAGUGAUGAUCCCAUCGUGUGCGUUUUGUAUUUAAAUGCAAAUUAUAUAUAAUGCACGUCCCUUGGGGGAGUUAUCCUAUUUUCUUUAGACCACUCUCUUUAUUCACCCAUCAUAAAAUCUUUUGAUCCCCAUCAAGUGUGUGUUGAUGGGAGGCAAGUCUUGCUCUUUAUGAUGCUUUGUGCCAUCAUGAAAUUUUGUCGAGGGCUUGGUUUGUUGGAACCUAGCUCUCUUUUGGAAACUAGAAACCUCGUGUUUGUUUUCCUUCAAUUGGUUUCUUGUUGCCUUCUAUUUGGCAUGUGUCAAUGGAUAUCUCAUUCCUUGAGGUAUUUUUUUAAUUGAUAUCCUUCAAGUGAUAGCUCUUUUGUUUUAGGAUCUUAUUAUCACUUGAUACCUUGUCUUUUGAUGACUUAUCAACUUUGUGUUGAGUUGAUUCUUGAGAGUCUUGAGCAUGCGUAUCUAGCUACUAUAUACAACUUCUUUUGCUUGCUUUCCUCUUUUGACCCAAUAUAUAAGGGAAACUCCACCCUGUCAUAAAUUGGCUAAGGUGUGCAUGAACUUCAAAUUCAUAUCUAUAUGCACAUAUGUGUGUGGAGUUUGUCCUAUGUAUUGUUGGUUUUCUAACUCUUUGGUCCCAAUGAGUUUGGGCACCAUUUUGUUUGUUUUUGUUAUUCCAGGAACAACUGGAGAUGCAUUGGAUGCUCGACUCACCUAUAAGGAAGAUGUUGAGACCAUGUGAUUAUUGGAGCCAAGUUAGGAUGAUCAAAGAACAACUAUCUACUACAUCAAUCCAAUGUUGUCUCGGUAACAAGUAUCCACUUCAUGCAUUCUUUUCUUGCAAAGGACCCAACCUGUCUUUUCUUUUCCAGGUUGCAUCAUGGCAUGAAUCUCUUGAUUUGUUCUCGUAGUACUUGUUUGCUUUCUCAAAGCAUCCGAACGAUGAUGUCUUACUACUAGUUGGGAUGUCUUUGAUGUUCGUAUGUUGGAAGUUCAUAUUGUACAAUAAGAAAAUAUUAGGCCAUGUGCUACGCUUCCAAGCAAAAGAUUUCAUUGAUAUAUUUAUGACUUCCUUUGGAUAUCUAGUUUGCUCCUUCUUGUAACCAUUUUGUGUGUAUAUCCUUCUUUGUGGACAAAUAUCAUCAUGAUUGUCUUCCACUUAGAAUCUUUUAGACAUGAGAGAAGUUACAUCUCUAAUUGAUAUCCUCUUUUCUUUCACGGCCAUCGUUGCAUUUCCUCUUUCAAGUUUUUUUAUGGCUUCGUGAAAGGAUUUGUUUUGAGUGCGUAUCUUAUUUUCCUACAUCUUUGUGCACUCUUUGGCCGUGAAGAUUAUUUUUUUCCUCAUGCUUGUCUUGAUGAGGGUUUUGCCAUUUUCAAUUAGUAUCCCUCCUCUUGACAAGGUUCUUACUUCCUAUCUUCACAAUGGGUUGUCACAAGCGUUGGUUCUUAUUUUGUUUAUUAGUAAGCUUGUGAAGCCAUUUUCUAGUAUGUGUGUGUGGGAAUGAUAUGUCUUGCACUUUGUAUCUCAUUUCAUCAAGACUAUGUUGAUGAGAAAUGCUCAUCCCUAUCUUAGUCUUCUCAAGUGCUUUGCCAUGACUCAUACACAUUACUCUGUUUGAGCCUAUUAUUAAGUUGCUUCUAUUACAUGUUGCUCAAACAUUUGUUUUGUGCAAUUGAUAUGCUUAUUGUCUCAUCUAUCCUCUUGCACUCGUUGUGUGUUUUACAAAUUCUGGGGGAGCAACGGUCCUAUUUUGUGCACCUGUGUCAAAUACAAUAAUAUCAUAUUAGUGCACAAAUCAUGGGGAGCUUCUCUAGUUUUUGAUAAAGCACUAUGUUGCCUUUAUCAUAAUAUCUUUUAUUCAUGUGGUUAGAAGGACCAUAUGAUUGUUUGUUCCAUCUGGAAUCCUUUGAUUGCCUGCCUCUAUCUUUGUAUGUCUUUGUGGCAUACGAUUCUUUUUGCAAUUUUUGGGUCCUUAAUAUAGUUUGUUUUCCUCCAACUACUUAUCAUUGUAUUUGUAUAUUUUUCUGCACUCAUUUGCUGAGAAGUACACACUUUUUGGAGGACCACCUACUAUAUUUGCCUUCUAAACUGUUCGUCCAUUUUGGCAAUCGAUGCCAAUGGGGGAGAAGUUUAGAGAGUUUACUUUGGAUAUGUUUAGAGGGUUUUGCUUUUAUUGCGUAAGCAUUUACAUCUUGCUCACAUGCAUUAUCACCUUCUAUGUGUGCGCUUGGUUAUGCUUAUUUCCUUAUAUAAACUCUCUUGAAGUGGUUGUCUUCAAUUACCAUAAUGGGGGAGAUUGUUAGAGCAUAUAUCUCCAUAUGUGGUUUUGGUAAUUGAUGACAAUUCCUAUGGACUAAUGGUUGCCUUAAGUUAUAUUUAUAGGAUUUGUCCAUAGGAGCUUCCUGAAGUCCAUCUGUUGGGUUCAAGGAUUUUAUAUGUUGACCAAGAUGUUAUUCAAGUUAUUAUCCAAAGAAUGGUCAUAGAAACACUAGGUUGAUCAAGAUCUCAGACAAAGAGUAAAUCAAGAUGAUCAACACAUUGCUUUUAUUGCAAUUUGUCCAUAGGCACUUCUUGAAGUCCAUCUGUUGGGUUCAAGGAGUUUAUAUGUUGACCAAGAUGUUAUUCAAGUUAUUAUCCAAAGAAUGGUUGUAGAAACACUAGGUUGAUCAAGAUCUCAGACAAAGAGUAAAUCAAGAUGAUCAACACACAAAGCGUAUAAGAUGUACCGAGAGGGAUCAAGUGAUCCCAUGGUAAGGUAAGCAUUGUCCAUUACGUGUUUGUGUACUAACCCAUGGUCUUUGUGAGACUCCUAUGUGGGGGUUAGGUGUGCUUCCAUUGGGCUUGCGUCAAAAGGAAGAUGUCAUACAACCCAUGAAGGAUGACGUCAAGUGGUGAUCGUCAUCAAGAUUGUGGUGUGCAAGUUCAAGCGGAUCAGCACGAAUAUAUCAUUGAAACUAUUGUCAAUGAUCAUGUGCUGACAAGGACAACCUCAUGUGCUAACAAGGACAAGAUCAAGAUAAGCAUUCCUGAGCACUACAUGCUUGAUUCUUGUGGAUGAUCACAUGGUGGACAUGACAAGAUCAAGAUAAGCAUUCUUGAGAACUUCAUGCUUGAUUCUUGUGGAUGUUCACAUGGUGGACAAAUGAAGAUGAAUACAUAAGCUAGGCUUUCCGCAUUGUGUAUGGGAAAGCUACUUGAAGACUUCAUCAUGUCUUGCUUUCAACUUGAGCCAAGAAGGAAC
rnacentral:lncRNA from 1 species